rnacentral:rRNA from 1 species
GAUGAACGCUAGCGGGAGGCCUAACACAUGCAAGCCGAGCGGUAUUGUUUCUUCGGAAAUGAGAGAGCGGCGUACGGGUGCGGAACACGUGUGCAACCUGCCUUUAUCUGGGGGAUAGCCUUUCGAAAGGAAGAUUAAUACUCCAUAAUAUAUUGAACGGCAUCGUUUAAUAUUGAAAGCUCCGGCGGAUUGAGAUGGGCACGCGCAAGAUUAGCUAGUUGGUGAGGUAACGGCUCACCAAGGCGAUGAUCUUUAGGGGGCCUGAGAGGGUGAUCACCCACACUGGUACUGAGACACGGACCAGACUCCUACGGGAGGCAGCAGUGAGGAAUAUUGGUCAAUGGGUGCAAGCCUGAACCAGCCAUCCCGCGUGAAGGACGACUGCCCUAUGGGUUGUAAACUUCUUUUGUAUAGGGAUAAACCUACCCUCGUGAGGGUAGCUGAAGGUACUAUACGAAUAAGCACCGGCUAACUCCGUGCCAGCCGCCGCGGUAAAAC